AUUGAACGCUGGCGGCAGGCCUAAACCAUGCAAGUCGAGCGAUGGGAGGACGGUUGCGUAAGGUCUGGUAAACUGCCUGAAGGAGGGGGAUCAAUAAUGGAAAAGGUAGCUAAUACCGCAUAAAAUCAGAUGUGCGACGACGGGAUUAGCUAGUAGGUGGGGUAAUGGCCAACAUAGUCUACGAUCCCUAGAUGCUCUGAGAGGAUGACCAGCCACACUGGAACUGAGACACGGUCCAGACUCCUACGGGAGGCAGCAGUUGGGAAUAUUGCACAAUGGACGCAAGCCUGAUCCAUCCAUCCCGCGUGUGCGAUGAAGGCCUUCGGGUUGUAAAGCACUUUAAGUUGUGAGGCGUUACCAACAGAAUAAGCACCGGCUAACUUCGUGCCAGCAGCCGCGGUAAUUC
rnacentral:rRNA from 1 species